GACGAACGCUGGCGGCGUGCUUAACACAUGCAAGUCGAACGGACAGGCCCUGCUUUUGUUGGUUGCUCGAUUGGCGAACGGGGGAGUAACACGUGAGUAAACUGCCCUUGACUGUGGGGUAACUUCACGAAACUGGGGCGAAUACCGGAUAGGAGCUCCUGCUGCAUGUUGGGGGAUGGAAAGUUUCGGCGGUUGGGGAUGGACUCGCGGCUUAUCAGCUUGUUUGGGGGGUAGUGGAUUACCAAGGCUUUGACGGGUAGCCGGCCUGGGAGGGUGACCGGCCACAUUGGGACUGAGGUACGGCCCAGACUCCUACGUGAGGCAGCAGUGGGGAAUAUUGCACAAUGGGCGGAAGCCUGAUGCAGCAACGCCGCGUGCGGGAUGACGGCUUUCGGGUUGUAAACCGCUUUCGCCUGUGCCGAAGCGUUAGUGACGGUAAUGGGUAAAGAAGCACCGGCUAACUACGUG
rnacentral:rRNA from 1 species